rnacentral:ncRNA from 1 species
ACACAACCAUUGAGGAAAAAAGUAAUCAGAGCCCAUGCGAACAGAGAACGAAUGCCUUAGGCUGAAAGCAUUCCAACGUUAUGUUCUGAUGAAAGACGUUUCUUAGGUUCUACAUCGAAAUGAGAGUAGGUGUAGACGUACACAGGCGUUAACUGUUUUGAGUGGGGGCAUUUAGAGGUCCCAAUCAGGGUGGCAACGCGGGUAAUCCCGUCCCUUUU